rnacentral:lncRNA from 1 species
GAUAGCAUUAGGAGAUAUACCUAAUGCUAAAUGACGAGUUAAUGGGUGCAGCACACCAGCAUGGCACAUGUAUACAUAUGUAACUAACCUGCACAUUGUGCACAUGUACCCUAAAACUUAAAGUAUAAUAAAAAAAAAAAGUUACUCUCACUGAAGUUCUCUCUUGCCCAUUUCAAUCCCUACUCCCAUCUCCAGCCCUAAGCAAUACUGCUCUGAUAUUCUGUCUGUAUAAAUUUCCCAUCUGUGUAAUAGAAAUGGAAUCAUACAAUAUAUUAUAUUGAGGUCUGACUUUAAUCAUUUAGUUACUAUUUUUGAAGUUAAUUGAUGCUUUAGCUUGUGCCGGUCAUGUGUUUUCCUUUUCAUUGCUUCAUAGUCCAUUGUGUGGAUAUAUAAACAGUGUUUAUUCAUUCAUCAGUUGAUGGACAUUUAAUUAUUUCUGUUUUUUGUAUUAUGAAUAAUGCUGCUUUGAGCAUUCAUAAUACAGUCAUGUAAUGUAUAAUAACAUUUUGGUCAAUGAUGGAUAGCAUGUAUGAUGGCAGUCCCAUAAGAUUAUGAUAGAGUUUAAAAAUUCCUAUCACCUAGUGUCUUGUAGCUGUCACAAGUGUGUAGCGUAACACAUUAGACAGGCAUCAGUGAUGAUGCCGAUGGAAAGGAAUCUACUGGUUUUCCAGUUAUGUUAAAGUACUGUAUAGAACAUACAACUAUGUGCAGUAUAUAAUACUUGGUAGUGAAAAUAAAUGACUAUGUUCCUGGUUUAUGUAUUUACUGUGCUAUACUUUCUAUAAUUAUUUGAGAAUAUAUUCUAUCUGCGUAUUAAAACAAACCACUUACCUGUAAAACAGCCUCAAGUAGGCCUUUGAGGAUGUAUGCUAGAAGGUGUUGUUAUCGUAAGAGAUGACAGCACCAUGUGUGUUUCUGCCCCUUCCAGUGGGACAAGAUGUGGAUUCAGAAGGCAGUGACAUUGAUGAUCCUAAUCCUGUGUAGGUCUAGGCUGAUGUGUGUGUCUGAGCCUCAGCUGUUAACAAAAAAAGUUUAAAAUUUAAAACUUAAAUUUUAAAAUAGAAAAAAUAUAGAAUAAUAUUUUAAAAAUUUGCACAGCUGUACAAUAUGUUUAUGUUUUAAGGUAAGUGGUAUUACAAAAUAGUUGUUUUUAAAAUUGUUUAAGUUUAUAAAUUUUAAAUGUUACAGUAGGCUAAGGUUAAUUGUUGAGUAAAUAAAAAUAGAUUUCUAUAAAUUUAGGGUAGUCUAAAGAUACAAUGUUCAUAAAGUCUAUAGUAGUGUACAGUAAGGUCCUAGGCCUUCACAUUCACUCACCAUUCACUCACCGAAUCAUCCAGAGCAACGUCCAGUCCUUUAAGCUCUGUUCAUGGUAAAGUGCCCUAUACAGAUGUACUAAUUUUUAUAUUUUAUACCAUAUUUUAUUGUAGCUUUUCUAUAUUUAGAUUUUAGAUAUAUAAAUGCUUACCGUUUUGUUACCUUUGCCUGCAGUAUUCAGUACAGUUACAUGUUGUACAGUUUGAAGCCCAGAGCAAUUGGCUGUAUCAUACAGCCUAGGUGUAUAGGGGGCUAUGCCAUCCAGGUUUAUGUAAGUGCACUCUAUGAUGUCUGCGUAAUUACUACAUCACUUAACGAUGCAUUUCUCAGAACACAUCACUGUCGUUAAGAGACACAUGUCUGUACAAAUGACUUUGGAGAAUAUGCUUUCAGUUCACUUGGAGCAUUCCUGGGUGUGGAUUUGCUGGACCAAAUGGUAAGUUCAAAUUUAAUUUUUUUUAAGAAACAAGAAAGCUAUCUUCUAAAUUAGCUGUGCCAAUGUACAUUUCUACCGUGCUGCAUAGUACCAAUUUCAUACAGUGUAUGAAAUUGGUACACUGUAUGGUAAGCCCUAGCAUGUAAGAAAUGAAUAAAGUAACACAUAUAAAGAUUAGUAUAAAGCAAAUGAGAUUAUUAUUGUUGUUAUUGUCUUUGUCAGAUUCUCAGAAUAAUUAAGAAUAUAUUUUUAUAUAAAUGUGCUUGGCAACAUAGCUGAAAACAGCGUUAGUAGUUAUAUACUUUUAUCAGUAACAAAGACAUAAAUUUUCCGGGAGAAAAACACUUGUAAUAACAAUGUCAGAAUUAACAUACAAAUUCUGCAAAACAUUUUUGGCAGUUUAAUUGGGGCAGUGUUUUGUAGACAAAUGAACAACUUAAGUAAGGGGAAUCAACAAAACUUGGGUUUCAAAAGUUAUCUGGGUUUAGAGUGUGAAACUUCGUCGGAGGACACACACCUUGCGUGAAUGAGAUGCCUCGGUGUGUGUGGACAUGUUGGAGGUACAGCAUAAUGGUGGCUUCCUCCAGAAAGGGACAUUUGGGGGAGCACCAAUGGCUCCUGUCUCACAGUGGAUUCAUUCCACCUAGACAACACAGCCUGAUGUGGCAUGGACAUGAAUGGAGGUCAAAUGGGCAGUAGCUGAGAGGAUCAGCCCUGACAAGGGCCAGGGUGAAAGACCUGGGAGUCUCUUCAGGUGCAAAGUCUUCAGUUGAAAAAAGGAGGUGGUCACAGGAGAUACUGAGCUGGAUCAAUAAAGUGCAGGAGAGAGAGUUGUUGGCCCUGGGGAGCGAGUAGUAUGGACUCUUAAGUUUUCUCCUCCUUCCAUUAAUUUCUCUUCCAGUGCAGACUUCAGUCUUAGACUUCCCAGCUGCCUUGAGGGAUUGGAUGAGCCUUGGCCAGCUCUUGAAGGAAACAAUAAAAUCACUUUAAUGUGCUACUUUUCAUUUUGAAGUCAUUACAGUAUCAUUUGCAAAACUCAACAAGGAAAGAUGCCUGUGGAUGGCCGUGUUCUGGGAGUCACUGUGAUGAGGUGCUGCCUGCUUUCGCCCAACCUGAUCUGGGGCUCAGACAGCUAACAGGCCCGAGUGGCUAGGAGGUUCUCACACGUCCCUGAGGAACUAGAGAGGAACGCCUCUGGGAAGCCCAGCCAGAGCCAACCGGAAGGGCCUUUUGGUGAAGUCUGACAUCCUACAUUAGUUUCUCUGGACCUGGAGCUCCCUGGAUAAAUCAUGAACAGAAGCAUCUAUGACCGACAGUUGCUCUGUGUCCUUCUAGCCUCGCAGGAGUUUCCAGCUCAUGAGGGCAGAGGAGAUGAAGAGAGGCCGAUCGACGUGAGGGUUGUGCAGGCGGCCCCUCUGAGGUGUGACUCCAGUAAGUACUCUGGAAUUACUUGCUGAGAAAGAAAAGUCUGGAUGCCAAGAAAGGUGUGACAUCCUUGCUGGCUUCAAUGUGAAGAGCCACCCUGAUUCUGGGAUUCUGAUAGGAAUAAGGAUGAUGCAUAUCUGAACCUGGAAACCGCUUCCCACUGUAGAGCGUGUCUGAGUCAUGUCCCUUAGCUUCAGCAGAGCAGAUCCAGCAGGCUCUGAGCUUGGCCUCUUUGCCUGGAGCGAGACCUCUAGGUAAUGUCUCCAGAGAGGGUGGCACAAAGGAUCCUGGAUCUCCUGAUCACAGCAGCCCAAGAGUGCCGUGCGUGCACCAUGGCUCAAGAAGAAGACUUAAAAAGGGGAAACUCCUCCUGAGGGUGCUGUAGGAGACAUCUGCAAAAAAGAAGAUGCUGGCAAUAUGCCAUCAACCUCAGAGGGGAGUAUUUACCCUGAAAUGGCUCACUUCCUGAGGAACAAACUUGCUGGAUCUAGUGUACGGAAACCUGAUUCUGGGUUCCUUUGGGAAGGAGCAUUACGGGCCUGCUCCUGGACCACCUCAUAUCACCAGCACCCUCUACCCAAGGUCCUGGAGCCAACACUGGAGUAAAAGAGCACAAGAGAACUCCUUAGAGGUGGAAGAUAACCCUAAGGAAUAUCUUGGAUGUCUUCACGGGGCUUAUGACUUAUUCUGAGGUUUACAAAAUAGAGGCCCCCAGCUGAGCAAAGAGAGGGCUGCAGCGCCGAGGGAACAGCUGCCGGACUCACCGGAGAGGCCUCCUGGAGCACGCCGGGACCCCCUCCACCCCCUGGCUUUGGCUGCAUCCAUGGCUAGUUUGCCUGAACUAUAUCUGAGCCACUGAGAGUAUUUAUUAAGCAGAGAAUAAUUUUGAGUUUCACUUUUAUAACUUUUGUUUCAAAAGUUGUUUUGGAUAAUUUAAUGAAAUGACUGUAAACCAGAAUUCCCCUUUUCAUUAUUUCUUUGUGUCGAUAUAAAAAGAGUUGAUGAUUUUAAAAGCCAGUGAGAUGUCCCUGUCUGUGGAUGUCAGCGGGAGCGUGGGGUCUGAAGCCUUUCUCUGGUGGCUGUCCAGGAAGAUUGCCCCAGCUUGCACUCCCUUUUGGCGGGUUCCAGAGCCUUCCAUUUGAAAGGAGCAUCUCUCCCCACUCUGCCCCACCCAGCACCAGCUCUUCUGGAACCCACUGACUUCCUAAACACUUUCUUCCUCCUUCACCUCAUUGAAUUCAAGACUUUAGAAAACAGCCAAAAACUCUAGAGGUGGGGGUGGGUGUGAUCUGGAAAUCCCUGCUGUAAUCUUUUUAAGGGAAUCCACUGGAAAUUAUUAAUUUAUGUUUUAAAUAAAACCAUUCCUUACUUCACAGAAUAUUAAGCCACUCACUUUUUAACAGAACUUUGAGAUAUAAUUAAAAUGCCGUAAAUUUCACCCCCACACAGUGUACAGUUCCAAGGUUUCCAAUAUAGUCACAGAAGUCUCUGCAACAAUUACCACAAUUUUAGACAUGAAGACCAUUUGUUGGCAGCCCUACCUGUAUCUAUGUGUAUAUAUAUAAUUUUAAUAUUGGAUUAGAUGUUAUAGUAUUUAAUAUUGUACUGUUACCUAUUUGUGUCUUUAUAUUGCUGUUUUUUAUUCAGGUGAAUAAUAAUUAUCUCCAUAUAGUCAUACAUUUAUAUAGGGUUAAAACAUACCUUUUUACAAUUCAAUAAAUUAAAUUGGCCAGGCGUGGUGGCUCAUGCCUGUAAUCCCAGCACUUUGGGAGGCCGAGGGGGGCGGAUCACCUGAGGUUGGGGGUUCGAGACCAGCCUGACCAACAUGGAGAAACCCUGUCUGUACUAAAAAUACAAAAAAUUAGCCGGGUGUGGUGGCUCAUGCCUGUAAUCCCAGCUACUUGGGAGGCUGAGGCAGGAGAAUCACUAGAACCCAGGAGGCGGACGUUGCGGUAAGCCGGGAUCGCACCAUUGCACUCCAGCCUGGGCAACAAGACCAAAACUCCAUCUCAAGAAAAAAAAAAAAAAAAAAAGAAAGUAAAUUGUUUUUAAUUACUCACAUAAGAAACACAUGUGUUAUUGUUAUAAAAAUUCACAUAGUGCUUAGGUCUACAGAAUAAACGUAUCCCCGCCACCUCCCAGCCCACCCCCUCGUCUGCAUUCACCUACACACAGUUAAACAUGCACAUAUGUUUCCGUGACACGAUCUUGUUUGCAUAUUGUUCACUGAUUUGCUUUUCCAUAUAAGAUUUAAUUUGGUGAUUAUUGCUUAUCAGUACCUAUAGGUCUCUCUCAUUAUUAUUUAUAAUUACAUCAUUAUUCCAUAGGGUAUUUUACCAUAAUUUGGUCACUUUUUCACUGAGGAAUUUUUAUGUCAGUUUCAGUUAUUUGUUAUUGUUACCAAUGCUGUACUGGGCAUCCCUGUAUAUCCACCUUUUUGUUGCAUUAGUUAAGUGGUUUUUUCCUUUUAUGAUUGAUUUCUAAAAAUAAAAUACUGCAGCAAAUGUUAAUGUUUAAUAUUUUCAUAAAAUUAAAAAUCUGUGUUCCAAAAAGAAAUCAAUGGUUUAUACUUCUACCAUCAGUGUAUGAGAAUUCCUAUUUCCCCACACCCUUAAUUACACAGGAAAUUAUCAAUGUUUGCCAAUUUUAUGAUUUUAAAAUAUUUUUACUUUUAAUUUGGAUUUCUCCACUUAUUAGGGAGAUUGUGCAUAUUUGUGUAUGUGUGUUGGCCGUUUGUAUUUCUCCCUGUGAUUUUCAUAAUGAUACGUUUUCCUAGUUUUCUAAUUCAUUUAGUGAUAUUCUUUAUAUGUUCUACACAUUUAUUAUUUCCAUAUAAUUACUGAGUUUUUUUUAAGGUCUGUGUCAUAACUUUUACUUUGUUUAUAUUGUUUCUGUUUUGAAGAAGCUUUUCUUUUUACACAGUCAAAUUUUCAAUAUUUUCCUUACCAUUUCUGGAUUUGUGACAGGCUUUCAAUAGUUGAUCCUUUUAGGGCUUUAUUGAUUUGUUUUGUUUUAAAGAACAUGCUCAAAUCCUACAUUAUAUAGUGAUUUACUUGUUCCCUUUAUAACACGUGGUAGACAUUACUAGUUCCAACUAAUGUAGAUUAAAUGUAUUCUUUUCAGUUGUGUAGUAAUUCAUAUUAUAGAUACGUUCUGAUUUCUUUCUUCUCUGUUAGAUGGAUAUUAAGCUUAUUUUUUAAAAUUCCCACCACUAAUGACUUUCCAGUAAUCAUCAAUAUACAUAGAUCCCCCCAAUGUUUUUGGUUUUUUUUUGUUUUUAUGUAGUAUACGAUUCUCAAAAUUGUAUAAUUGAGUUAUGACAAAUUUAAUUAUAAUUUAAAAAAUACUGACAUUAUUCUUCACAAAGUUAAUCAGAUCACACUCUUACCAAUUACAUAAGUAGGCCUCUUCCUAUCUAGGCUCAAUAGCAC